GCCUGGCUAACUCGGUCGGUAGAGCGUGUGACUCUGGAUCUCAGGGCUGUGAGUUUGAGCCCCAUGCGAGGCA
rnacentral:tRNA from 1 species